rnacentral:rRNA from 1 species
UCCACGCCGUAAACGAUGGAUACUUGGUGUUGGAAGGUCGACCCUUUCAGUGCCGUAGUUAACGCGUUAAGUAUCCCGCCUGGGGACUACGACCGCAAGGUUGAAACUCAAAGGAAUUGACGGGGGCCCGCACAAGCGGUGGAACAUGUGGUUUAAUUCGAUGCAACGCGAAGAACCUUACCUGGGCUUGACAUAUGCAUGAAGCACUCGAGAAAUCGAGUGUUAUUUUGGCUUUUGCCAAAAACAUGUAUACAGGUGGUGCAUGGCUGUCGUCAGCUCGUGUCGUGAGAUGUUGGGUUAAGUCCCG